rnacentral:rRNA from 1 species
AUUGAACGCUGGCGGCAGGCCUAACACAUGCAAGUCGAACGAGUGGCGGACGGGUGAGUAAUGUCUGGGAAACUGCCCGAUGGAGGGGGAUAACUACUGGAAACGGUAGCUAAUACCGCAUACCAUCGGAUGUGCCCAGAUGUGCUUAGCUAGUCGGUGGGGUAACGGCUCACCUAGGCGACGAUCCCUAGCUGGGGUCAGAGGAUGACCAGCCACACUGGAACUGAGACACGGUCCAGCGUACUACGGGUGGCAGCAGUGGGGAAUAUUGCACAAUGGGCGCAAUCCUGAUGCAGCCAUGCCGCGUGUAUGAAGAAGGCCUUCGGGUUGUAAAGUACUUUCAGCGGGGAGGCGUUACCCGCAGAAGAAGCACCGGCUAACUCCGUGCCAGCAGCCGCGGUAAUAC